CCAUGGCUCACUGGUAGAGUGUUUUGUUUGGUAUGCAGAAAGUCCCAGGUUCAAUCCCUGCCAUCCCUGGUUGAAAGG
rnacentral:tRNA from 1 species